UACGUAGGUGGCAAGCGAUACUCGGAAUCACUAGGCGUAAAGCGCAGGUAGGCGGUUUGGUAAGUCUUUUGUGAAAGCUCCCGGCUUAACUGGGAGAGGUCAAGGGAAACUACCGGACUAGAGUGUGGUAGGGGAUACUGGAAUUCCUGGUGUAGCGGUGAAAUGCGUAGAUAUCAGGAGGAACACCAAUUGCGAAGGCAGCUCGCUGGGACGUUACUGACGCUGAGACGCGAAAGCGUGGGGAGCAAACCGG
rnacentral:rRNA from 1 species